UAUGCUUCUUCGGGAGCAGAGACCGGCGCACGGGUGCGUAACGCGUAUGCAAUCUACCUUUCACAGAGGGAUAGCCCAGAGAAAUUUGGAUUAAUACCUCAUAGUAUAGCAGUUUCGCAUGAAACCACUAUUAAAGUCACAACGGUGAAAGAUGAGCAUGCGUCCCAUUAGCUAGUUGGUAAGGUAACGGCUUACCAAGGCAACGAUGGGUAGGGGUCCUGAGAGGGAGAUCCCCCACACUGGUACUGAGACACGGACCAGACUCCUACGGGAGGCAGCAGUGAGGAAUAUUGGACAAUGGGCGCAAGCCUGAUCCAGCCAUGCCGCGUGCAGGAUGACGGUCCUAUGGAUUGUAAACUGCUUUUAUACGAGAAGAAACCCUCCGACGUGUCGGAGCUUGACGGUAUCGUAAGAAUAAGGAUCGGCUAACUCCGUGCCAGCAGCCGCGGUAAUACGGAGGAUCCAAGCGUUAUCCGGAAUCAUUGGGUUUAAAGGGUCCGUAGGCGGUCAGAUAAGUCAGUGGUGAAAGCCCAUCGCUCAACGGUGGAACGGCCAUUGAUACUGUCUGACUUGAAUUAUUAGGAAGUAACUAGAAUAUGUAGUGUAGCGGUGAAAUGCUUAGAGAUUACAUGGAAUACCAAUUGCGAAGGCAGGUUACUACUAAUGGAUUGACGCUGAUGGAC
rnacentral:rRNA from 1 species